GUGAAACAAUUACUCUCCUCUUCACAUAUAUGAUAGCAUCUUGGUCCCAAGGUCCGAGUACACAAUAUUUGAUAGAGUCCUAACCUCAACAGGAAAGUGAUUUAGGGGUGAUUACUUCUGAUGACUUAAAGGUAGGCAGACAAUGUAAUAGAGCAGCAGGAAAUGCUAGCAGAAUGCUUGGUUGUAUAGGGAGAGGUAUUAGCAGUAGAAAGAGGGAAGUGCUCAUGCC